UACGUAGGGGGCGAGCGUUGUCCGGAAUUAUUGGGCGUAAAGAGCGCGCAGGCGGCUUGGCAAGUCGGGUGUGAAAUCCCGGGGCUCAACCCCGGGACUGCAUUCGAUACUGUCAGGCUAGAGGUAGGUAGGGGAGAUCGGAAUUCCUGGUGUAGCGGUGAAAUGCGCAGAUAUCAGGAGGAACACCGGUGGCGAAGGCGGAUCUCUGGGCCGAUACUGACGCUGAGGAGCGAAAGCGUGGGGAGCGAACAGG
rnacentral:rRNA from 1 species